rnacentral:tmRNA from 1 species
GGGGUCGACCGGUUUUGACAGCGAGAUUAAUAAUCUGGUAAGCACGUCGUGUAAUGACUUUGAAACACGUAAAAGGCUAGGUCAACAUUUUAAACGGCGAAGAUAACUACGCUUUAGCUGCUUAAUCCGAAUCACAGUAGGAUGAGCCUUGUCACGCCAGGCGUGAAAGCUAAAUGUCUCUGGAAAGCCUUGGUUGGUGGCGUUCCGCCAAGAGGCAUCGUAAAAAUUAACUAAGAUUGGGUAGUGCUUUGAUGCCCUUUCGAGAUUAAGAAGCUAAGUUGUAGGUAGAGUGUUUUUAAUCAGCUUACAAUCAAAAACCAAGAAAAAACUAAGCGUGUAGAAAGCUACUUUGUUACUUGUUUGGACGAGGGUUCGAAUCCCUCCGACUCCACAU